rnacentral:lncRNA from 1 species
GGGGCUCAGUGUUCUGUUGAGUCUGUUUGAAUGUUAUCCCUUCAGUAAUCCUUAGGGAUAGGGAAAUGAGUACGUGAGUCAACUUGUGAUUUGUGAUUCUCUCAGUGUUUAGAGCCUCUUCAUGUACUGUACAAUGCCGAUCCUGGUGCCAGUGCCUGACAGACGUUUCCUGUUUGACCUUUUCUCCUGCAGAUGGACACUGACGUCGUUGUCCUCACAACAGGCGUCUUGGUGUUGAUAACCAUGCUACCAAUGAUUCCACAGUCUGGGAAACAGCAUCUUCUUGAUUUCUUUGACAUUUUUGGCCGUCUGUCAUCAUGGUGCCUGAAGAAACCAGGCCACGUGGCGGAAGUCUAUCUCGUCCAUCUCCAUGCCAGUGUGUACGCACUCUUUCAUCGCCUUUAUGGAAUGUACCCUUGCAACUUCGUCUCCUUUUUGCGUUCUCAUUACAGUAUGAAAGAAAACCUGGAGACUUUUGAAGAAGUGGUCAAG